AGCUGAGCCGGCAAGGUCUGCAGCGGCAUCGUCUGCAUCAUCAGUGGUGAGAAGAUGGGCAGCUCCAUGGGCAUGGAGAGUUGGCACAGGAAGCCGGAAUCUUCUCUCACAGAGCCUGGGUCAGCAGAAGAGGGCUUCAGAUCUCCACUGUGCUCUGCGCUUACAGAGGGCAAGAUGUUCUUUCCCAGAUCCUCUGAGGUUUCUGUAAUUUUAAAAAAAAAAAAGAAAAAGAAAAAGAAAAAAAAAAGGCCAAGCCCAGUGAUAAAGAAGGCUUUGUUUCAAGGAUGGCACCCACAACUAUCUACCUAGCAAGUCCUUGUGAACAUUGAAUCUUAUAGUAAGGGAAAUACCCAGUUGGAACAGAGUCUCUCCACACAGCCCCUGAAAAGAGUAUAUACUAUAAGCAAGUGCACAUGAACAGAGGGGACUAAAAGGAAAUAAAAAAGUUGCAUUCAUAGUAGGUCUGUAUCCUAUCUUGGAUCUGUUUUUACACGCCAUUCAGUUGCUUGACUCAGAAUCUUGAGUUUCUCAAGAACUGGUUUGAAGGUUACUGAUCUUAGACUGGAUUCCCUUUUGCGUGGACCCGAACUAAAAAAUAUGUGAAUUAAUGCUAUCCUAAAUUGUGGGGAUUUUAAGAUAACUGUUGUCCAUUGUAAUAUAAGAAAUUUUGGAAUAUGUUUUUUAGCAUAAUUUGUUGUAACAUAACUUUUGACUCUCCUCUCUGUUCCAUAAGAAAUGAACAUUCAACUGGCCAUUAAAUUAUAUAAAAAUUA